AUGAAGGACUUCGGUUAUGUCUCCAGGUGUGUGUGAAACAGGAAGAUGAAUACAGCGUGUGGAGACAUGUCUGAUUUACAAAAACAUGUUUGAGCACUUUCAUGGGGAAGGAAUGUUUGGAAAGUUUUCUGAUGACUUCCUCCUCCUGAACCGCGCAGUGUGAUAGAGUUCGGUCUCCCCCUCCAUCGUCUACGCUGACUCCAGUAUCGCCUGCCUCCUGAGGCAGACGCGUUUCAAAGCGUUAGAGAACCGGAUUCCUUCACUGGUACCCCCGCGCCCUUCAGGUAUGUCAUGGUUGCUUUCCUCUUCCUACGGGACACCCCCACGGUGUGUUUGUUCACUGCUGUGUGUGUGUGCACUUUGGAUGGGUUAAAUGCAGAGCACAAAUUCUGAGUAUGGGUCACCAUACUUGGCCAGAAAGUCACUUUCACUUUCAACAAUCUCCGAGAAACCGUUUAAAAGCCGUAGGUUGGCGUUCCUUGUCACGUUAGAGAGGCGAAUCUAAAUCAGGCAGACGUCUACAGCUCAGCAGCAGUUCAGACAGUUAAAUCAAUAGUUUGACAACAAGCCGAAUAUCAUCGCGUUCUGGAUGAAGCAGCACAAAGUUAAAAUGGCAAAGCGGUUUUUAUCUGGCUUCUUGCUUGUUUUCUACUGUAUUGCUAACAUGGUGCUGCAAGUUUUAUCUGCUAACAUCGUCAAUGGAACCAGAGGAGCCUCAUGGAUCUGGCCAUGCCAUCACACCCUCAGUGAACCGCUCCAGACUGGAGAAAUCUCCAUAUACUGGCAGGGCCAAAAUAAUUCCCAUAUUGUUGUGCAUGUUUACACAAAGGGGAAAGAAGAUUUCAAGUACCAAAGCCAGACAUUUAAAAAUAGGACUAAAAUCUUCCCAGAUCAGUUAUCUUCUGGCAACUUCUCACUUGCCAUUGAGCCACUGACACUGAGAGAUGACCAGACCUUCCUGGAAGUCAUUCUUGCACCAGGAAACAGACCUAGCGAGAAGCUCUGCCAGACAAGUCUAUAUGUGGCAGCUCUUUUCCAGAAACCUCAAAUUGAGAUAAACCAAACAGAGAUGACAGCAGCCUGCAGCACAAAGGGAGGUUACCCUAAACCUGAAAUCAGAUGGAGUUUUGAGGGUGGUGUGAGUAGAGUGGGACAACAUGAAGUACAGACCACUGUGACCUAUGAAGAAGAUGGCACCUAUAGUGUCCACAGCACUGCAAACAUCACAGGAUUACAGAAAGUGACCUGUGAUGUCUACAACCCGACUUCAAACCAGACUGUGAGUUCAACUAAAGAUGUGCCCCCUCACAGUCCUGUGUCUCCAGGUAUUACUGCAGUCAUCAUCAUCAUCAUCGUCGUCGUCAUCAUCAUCAUCAUCUUUGCUGCCUAUAGGAUAUUAACAACAGAAAUGCCACCUGCCAAGGCAAACAGGUCCAAGGUGAUGGACCAGACCAAGAGUGCAGCCUGGGCUCUGGAACCCAUCCUUGAGAGGGGCUGGACUCUCUUCUACUCUGGAGUUGCCUGCAGUAAGAGGCGGCGGGCUGGUGUGGGCUUACUUAUAGCUCCCCAGCUCAGCCGCCUGGUGUUGGAGUUUUCCCCAUUGAAUGAUAGGGUCACUUCCUUGGACCUUCGGGCACAGGUCUCUUACUGUUGUUUCGGCCUAUGAGCGGAAUAGCAGUACAGAAUACCUGGCCUUCUUGGAGUCUCUGGGAGGGUCCGGUUCUCCUAAAAGACUGGGCAAUGUACCCAAGUCUCAUCCUGGUGGGUCGGCUGGUGCUGCCAACGCCACUACAUCUCCAGAUCCUGGACUUCGUCCCGUGGGUCAGCUGGUCUGGCUGAUGCCACUGCAUCUCCUGACCCUGAGCUUCAUCCCAGUGGCUUGGCUGAGCUUGUCGACGCCAUUGUCCCUCCUGAACCUGAUCUUCAUCCCGUUGGGUCAGCUGGUUCUGCCGACGCCACUGCUCCUUCUCCUGAGCCUAGUCCCAGUGGGUCGGCCAGUCCUGCCAACGCCACCACAUCUCCAGAUUCUGACCUUUGUCAUGGUGAUUCGGCCAGUCCCACCAAUGCCACCACAGCCAGUGUUCCUGCUUGUCCGAGGGGUCGUCCACAAGAGUGACCCUGGAUUCAUGUCUGCCUGAGUGGCCGCCCUGGAUCUUAAUCUGUCCCGGGGUGUCGUCCUCCCAAGCGAUCCCAGACUUCAGCUCACCUGAAGGGUCGCCCACCAGAGCAGUUUCAGAUCUCAGCUUGUCCGAGGGAUCAUCUUCCAUAGUGGCCCCAGACUUCAGCUCUCCUGAGGGGUCGUCCACUGGACUAACUCCGGAUUCACGUCUGCAUGGGGGACAACCUUCUUGGGUGGACCCCCACCCUCAGCAGCAGUGAGCACUUCUUACACAGCAGUUGCAAGUAGUAGUAUAAAGCUCCCAUUGGAAAUGAAUGGCUGAAAUGAAUGGCCCCUCUAGAGCACAGAUAAGCUACAUACAUUAAAAUAGAGGUUCAGAUUAAAGAAACCUUUAUUCUAUUUGUAAAAAUGCAAAAAAUGGCAAUUGUUUUCUAAUUCUUAAGAAUAAAAGUAAACUAAUAUACUGAUAGAAGCCAGAGUGAAUCAUGACAUAUGUUUACACAGAUAAAUAUUUAUUUACAAUUUUUAAAAAUGUGUAUAUAUUUUACAUUUAAGACCACUGAAUUUUCACACCAAAUUGCCAUAAAUAUUUGGUGUGAGAAAAAACUUGUAUGAGGUCAGGUUGGUCCUGGCUGAUGCAUGUCAUAGACCACAUCAUUUCAUAACAUUACUAUAGUUAAAUUAUGUCUAACCAAACCCAAUGUUGAGACUUUAAUUCACGCAAUUGUUUCUUCCUGCCGCGAAUAAUUAUCUAGUCCAGAUCAGAUGAAGAUUGUGUAUGAAACUGGAGUCCAGUUUUGUGUGUACAUAAUGAUUCAAUAAGACCCAAGUGCAGAGACUUAAAUCACGUAAAAUAUAUUCCUUAAAUAAAAUAAAAUACGUUGAUAGGGGAGGUUGUUUUUGAAACAGCCACAGAAGAGUUACCAAUGACAUGAAUCAGUGAUCCAUUACCAUAAGCGUCUCAUUAAUACUACCAUUUAUGUUGUGAAAGUUCCACCUUUGGAGUACAAGGUAAUGCUAGUGCUGAACUCAAAAGCACUCUGCUCUCCACACCUAUUUCCCAUGCUGUUUUUAACUAAACAAUUUUUUUCUUUUUGGAGCUUAAUAAAUUAAUAAUGGACCAAUAAAAACUUUAAAGUUUUGAAGCCUUCUCUGCAUUACUGCCAAACAAUGAUUUAUUGCUUCAAAUACCAGGGACACCGGGCAUUGCUGAUGCUGGUGGUUUAUUCAUCUCAGAUCUCUCAUAUUUAUGCAACAUUUCAUAACGGCAUGUGAUGGGAGAAUCAUAUUAUUUUAAUUAGCUGAUUACUUUUACUACAGUUAUACUGUAAUAAAAAAUUCACACGCUUGUGAUUAUGUCUUACUGCUUGUCCUAUGACUUCUUGUUGGUUUUGCACUGGUUGAGGUUGUGAUUGUUUCGAUAUGAUUUUGGUCGCUUUCCAUUAUGAUGAAACUCAAGUUUAAGACUACUGAGUCAGCUCCAUUUUCUCAGCGACAGCCAUGAGAUGUGGUUAAAAGCUCUGAAAAAGGAAGUCUACCUCUAUCUCGGGUAUUUUGUUAUACACACUGUUCCUAAAAAUUAACUUCCACGAUCAAAUAUAUCAUGACACUCACUAAAAAGGUAUUCUGUCAGGUUGUUUCCUUUUUGUGUAAAUAGUAAUUAGCUGUAAUUGUCCAGGGCUUCUAGUUAGUAGAUGCAGCUAAGUGCCUUGAGAUGAUUGUAUUGUGAUAUGGAGCUAUACAAAUGAAACUGAAUUGAAUUGAAUUGAAGCUAGCAUUCCAACUCAUAGAGCAGGCUACACCAACAGGUUUUGUUCAUGGAACACUUUAUCUUAGCAAAAUGUGUUAGUUUUGGACCCAUAAUAUCUGAAAUACAUUUAUCAGUAGUAGUAACCAAGAACAUACUGUACCAUCAUUCUGGAGAAACAACAAAAACUAAUGUCAUUAGAUUGGUUUCACAUUUUCAUCACCGUGCUUUUGUUGUCAAACAGAAUCAGAUUUACAGCAUGUAAGUUGUCCUGUCGUUUGCUCCUGUGGUUUUUGCUAUUCAUUAAUUAAAGAUAAAUGAUGACAGAAGU
ensembl:lncRNA ICOS ligand-like